CGGAGGAGAGCCGGGACCGAGGGCGGACACAUGGACAAAUACACAGCCCUGGAGCGUCUCCUGACCGAGCUGGAAGAUUUCCUGCGCGUCCUGGACAAGGAGAACCUCAGCAGUGCCGCCAUCCU